CUAAGGUAGCAUAGUCAUUUGUUAUUUAAUUGGUAACUGGAAUGAAAGGUUAAACUAUCUUAUCAGGUUUGUAAGACUAAAUGGUAGAUUAAAGUUGAGGUAAGAAUUCUUUAAUUUUCUAGGGGACGAUAAGACCCUAGAAGCUUAACAAGCAGUGUUUUUUGUGGUAAGAGUUUGUUUGUUUUACUGGGGCGGUAAAAAUAAUUGAGCUAUUUAUUGCUUAAAGGAUCCUUAAAAUAAAGAAAGAAUGGAAAAGUUACUUUAGGGAUAA
rnacentral:rRNA from 1 species